CACAGAAAAUGCACCGCCCCGAGUGUCUUAUUGCUGUGAUGAAAUGGAAAUUUAAAUAAAAGGUCGAACACGUGCGUUCACUGGGAAGUAUUGACAUGGGUGUUACAUCACCAGCAGCCAAUCAGAUAACUCCAGUCGUGUUUAUACUUCUACAACCACCUUGUGAGUAUUACAGUAUGUCAUAACGUUAUAAAUAUUAGGCAGGGUUUUCCCCAGGAGCGGGGAGGAGUCUGCUUCUACGGACGUUGUGAGCGGCUCCGAAGAUUGUGUGUUUAAAGUCAACAAUUCAUUUUUAAGACUUUUUUCGAACUGUUUACAUUACAUGGACUUUAGAUUGAUUCUGACAGAAUGAACUGGAAAUGAAAUCCCACAGUUAUGAUCGUAGUAGAGUUUUUUUUUCCAAUUUAGGGCCCUUAUACUCCUUUUAAAAAUUUUUAAUAUGCUAAAUUUAGCAAAUACUAAAGUGUUAAGACUCAUCUGACAAUGUGAGAAUUUAAGCCUAUUUCAGGUUAAGAAAAAAAAGAUGUUUUCAAGUUAUGGAGGGGCUUUUUACUCUUAAGCGACAUAUGUAUUAGAAGUUGAAUCACGAACUGAUAAAAUGCUCCAGAUAAUUGUUGACUAAAAAAAAUACGGCAGGACAAAUUUUUUACAUUAAUACAUAUGUGCAGAAAAUGAGAAAUAUACAUGAACUCUUUACAGUUAUAGAUUAAUGGGAAGGGUUAUGUUAAAGGCUUGAACCUCCUAAAUAAUGUAUUAAUGUAAAUAAAGUUAUAUAUGUUUUAUGAAGAACAGGUGUUACAAUUUUUAGACCUAGUUUUAUGAUUCUUAUUCUCUUCAAAAGUUCUUUUUCUAUUUCAAAACUAAGAGCAAUAUGUAAAGCUUUGUAUAAUAUGGAAUAUGGUAUGUAUUUCAAGGUUACUUUAAAAAGCAAGCUUUGGCUGGUCCCAAGGUAGUGAAUUGUCUCAAUUGGUUAUUCACAGUUGGUUGCCCGUUGUACCACUCUUUCCCCACUUCCACUUGACUAGUCUUUUAAAAAUAAAUAAAUAUUUAAAUAAACAA
rnacentral:lncRNA from 1 species